rnacentral:misc_RNA from 1 species
UUUCCGUAGGUGAACCUGCGGAAGGAUCAUUAUUGUAUAACCGAGGUGCGAGGGCUGUCGCUGACCCGACAGGUCGUGCACGCCCGAGUGCCCUCACACACAUCCAUCUCACCCCUAUGUGCACCACCGCGUGGGUCCCCCUUUGGCUUGUUCGGAGGGGGGCUUACGUUUUCACACAAACUUUGUAUGCAGUGUAGAAUGUAUUUUUUGUUUUUGCGAUCACGCAAUCAAUACAACUUUCAACAACGGAGCGAGGGGCUCUCGCAUCGAGGAAGAACGCAGC